AUACGGAGGAUCCAAGCGUUAUCGGGAAUCAUUGGGUUUAAAGGGUUCGUAGGCGGGUUUAUAAGUCAGUGGAGAAAGUUUGCGGCUCAACCGUAAAAUUGCCAUUGAUACUGUAGAUCUUGAAUUAGUGUGAAGUGAUUAGAAUAAGUAGUGUAGCGGUGAAAUGCAUAGAUAUUACUUAGAAUACCAAUUGCGAAGGCAGGUCACUAACACUAUAUUGACGCUGAGGGACGAAAGCGUGGGAGCGAACAGGAUUAGAAACCCCUGUAGUCC
rnacentral:rRNA from 1 species